rnacentral:rRNA from 1 species
CGCAUGGUCUUCUGGGAAGCUUUCGCGGUAUGGGAUGGGGUCGCGUCCUAUCAGCUUGACGGCGGGGUAACGGCCCACCGUGGCUUCGACGGGUAGCCGGCCUGAGAGGGCGACCGGCCACAUUGGGACUGAGAUACGGCCCAGACUCCUACGGGAGGCAGCAGUGGGGAAUAUUGCACAAUGGGCGCAAGCCUGAUGCAGCGACGCCGCGUGAGGGAUGGAGGCCUUCGGGUUGUAAACCUCUUUUAUCGGGGAGCAAGCGAGAGUGAGUUUACCCGUUGAAUAAGCACCGGCUAACUACGUGCCAGCAGCCGCGGUAAUACGUAGGGUGCAAGCGUUAUCCGGAAUUAUUGGGCGUAAAGGGCUCGUAGGCGGUUCGUCGCGUCCGGUGUGAAAGUCCAUCGCUUAACGGUGGAUCCGCGCCGGGUACGGGCGGGCUUGAGUGCGGUAGGGGAGACUGGAAUUCCCGGUGUAACGGUGGAAUGUGUAGAUAUC